UACGUAGGAGGCAAGCGUUGUCCGGAUUUACUGGGUGUAAAGGGUCCGCAGGCGGACAAGUAAGUCGGGGGUGAAAUCCUGCAGCUUAACUGCAGAACUGCCUUCGAUACUGCCUGUCUUGAAUACGGGAAAGGGUGACGGAAUUCCAGGUGUAGCGGUGAAAUGCUUAGAUAUCUGGAAGAACACCGGUUGCGAAGGCUGUUGCCUGGCCCGUUAUUGACGCUCAGGGACGAAAGCGUGGGGAUCAAACAGG
rnacentral:rRNA from 1 species